UAAGCGGAGGAAAAGAAACCAACAGGGAUUGCCUUAGUAACGGCGAGUGAAGCGGCAAAAGCUCAAAUUUGAAAUCUGGCACCUUCGGUGUCCGAGUUGUAAUUUGAAGAAGGUAACUUUGGAGUUGGCUCUUGUCUAUGUUCCUUGGAACAGGACGUCACAGAGGGUGAGAAUCCCGUGCGAUGAGAUGCCCAAUUCUAUGUAAAGUGCUUUCGAAGAGUCGAGUUGUUUGGGAAUGCAGCUCUAAGUGGGUGGUAAAUUCCAUCUAAAGCUAAAUAUUGGCGAGAGACCGAUAGCGAACAAGUACAGUGAUGGAAAGAUGAAAAGAACUUUGAAAAGAGAGUGAAAAAGUACGUGAAAUUGUUGAAAGGGAAGGGCUUGAGAUCAGACUUGGUAUUUUGCGAUCCUUUCCUUCUUGGUUGGGUUCCUCGCAGCUUACUGGGCCAGCAUCGGUUUGGAUGGUAGGAUAAUGACUAAGGAAUGUGGCUCUACUUCGGUGGAGUGUUAUAGCCUUGGUUGAUACUGCCUGUCUAGACCGAGGACUGCGUCUUUUGACUAGGAUGUUGGCAUAAUGAUCUUAAGCCACCCGUCUUGAAAAAAAAGGAAAC
rnacentral:rRNA from 1 species